rnacentral:rRNA from 1 species
UGAACGCUGGCGGCGUGCCUAAUACAUGCAAGUCGAGCGACCGGACGAGAAGCUUGCUUCUCUGAUGUUAGCGGCGGACGGGUGAGUAACACGUGGAUAACCUACCUAUAAGACUGGGAUAACUUCGGGAAACCGUAGCUAAUACCGGAUAAUAUUUUGAACCGCAUGGUUCAAAAGUGAAAGACGGUCUUGCUGUCGCUUAUAGAUGGAUCCGCGCUGCAUUAGCUAGUUGGUAAGGUAACGGCUUACCAAGGCAACGAUGCAUAGCCGACCUGAGAGGGUGAUCGGCCACACUGGAACUGAGACACGGUCCAGACUCCUACGGGAGGCAGCAGUAGGGAAUCUUCCGCAAUGGUCGAAAGCCUGACGGAGCAACGCCGCGUGAGUGAUGAAGGUCUUCGGAUCGUAAAACUCUGUUAUUAGGGAAGAACAUAUGUGUAAGUAACUGUGCACAUCUUGACGGUACCUAAUCAGAAAGCCACGGCUAACUACGUG